CCCCUAGAUGUUCUGGGUCGCACGCGCGCUACACUGAACAGUUCAACAAGUCUUAACCUUGGCCGAUAGGUCUGGGUAAUCUUUGAACGCUGUUCGUGAUUGGGAUAGACCUUUGCAAUUAUGGGUCUUCAACGAGGAAUUCCUAGUAAACGCAAGUCAUCAGCUUGCAUUGAUUACGUCCCUGCCCUUUGUACACACCGCCCGUCGCACCUACCGAUUGAAUGGUCCGGUGAAAUCUCGGGACGGCGGCUUGGUCGCUUGCGUCCGACUGCUGAAACUUGAUUAAACCAUAUCAUUUAGAGGAAGGUGAANUCGUANCA
rnacentral:rRNA from 1 species